rnacentral:rRNA from 1 species
AUUGAACGCUGGCGGCAGGCCUAACACAUGCAAGUCGAGCGGAGCGGCGGACGGGUGAGUAAUGCCUAGGAAUCUGCCUGGCAGUGGGGGAUAACGUCCGGAAACGGGCGCUAAUCCCGCAGCCUAUCAGAUGAGCCUCGGGCGGAUCAGCUAGUUGGUGGGGUAAAGGCUCACCUAGGCGACGAUCCCUCGCUGGUCUGCGAGGAUGACCGGCCACACUGGAACUGGGAAACGGUCCAGAAUCCUACGGGAGGCAGCAGUGGGGAAUAUUGCACAAUGGGCGAAAGCCUGAUGCAGCCAGGCCGCGUGUGUGAAGAAGGCCUUCGGGUUGUAAAGUCCUUUCAGCGGGGAGGCGUUACCCACAGAGGAAGCACCGGCUAACUCCGUGCCAGCAGCCGCGGUAAUUC